rnacentral:tRNA from 1 species
AGGGGAUUGGUGUAAUCGGUAGCACGACUGAUUCUGGUUCAGUUAGUUGGGGUUCGAGUCCCUAAUCCCCUG